CACGUAGGGCGCAAGCGUUGUCCGGAAUUAUUGGGCGUAAAGAGCUCGUAGGCGGACUGUCACGUCUGCUGUGAAAAGCUGGGGCUUAACCCUGGCCUUGCAGUGGAUACGGGCAGACUAGAGGUAGGUAGGGGAGAAUGGAAUUCCCGGUGUAGCGGUGAAAUGCGCAGAUAUCGGGAGGAACACCGGUGGCGAAGGCGGUUGGCUGGGCCACAACUGACACUGAUGCGCGACAGCGUGGGGAGCAAACAGG
rnacentral:rRNA from 1 species